rnacentral:rRNA from 1 species
UACGAAGGGGGCUAGCGUUGUUCGGAAUUACUGGGCGUAAAGCGCGCGUAGGCGGCUUUGCAAGUCGGGUGUGAAAGCCCUCAGCUCAACUGAGGAAGUGCGCCCGAAACUGCAGAGCUUGAGUGCCGGAGAGGGUGGCGGAAUUCCCCAAGUAGAGGUGAAAUUCGUAGAUAUGGGGAGGAACACCGGUGGCGAAGGCGGCCACCUGGACGGUAACUGACGCUGAGACGCGAAAGCGUGGGUAGCAAACAGG